rnacentral:piRNA from 1 species
UAGUAUGGUUGAGGACCAGGAAUG